GUUUAUUAAGUCUAUAGGUGUUCUGAGUAGCACGGUUUGUAGAUUUAUAAGUAUAACCCAAACUUCUCUUUCUCCCGGUCACCUUUGUUUGUCUUAAGUGUUCUUUGUGGGUGAUUGUUUGUCUAUAUUGGGGACACACUUUGGUAAGUUAGUAGUGUCCCCACUCUGAAUCAGCAGUAUGGGAAAUGUGAGUUCAUGUCCUGAGUGACCAAUAUAUGUACAUGUAUAUGUGUGUGUAUGUAUAUAUGUGUAUAUGUAUGUAUAUAUGUGUGUGUAUAUGUAUAUGUGUAUAUAUAAGAUAGCAGUACUUUUAAACAAAUGGAGGUUUUAAAAAUACAUAGGGAUUAAGGAGAGAACGCAGGUAACUUGUUUUUCUUUGGUUUUUACCAUAUAUUGGGG
rnacentral:lncRNA from 1 species